rnacentral:rRNA from 1 species
UACAGGGGGGGGGCAAGCGUUUGUUCGGAAUUACUGGGCGUAAAGGGCUCGUAGGCGGCCAACUAAGUCCGACGUGAAAUCCCCAGGCUUAACCUGGGAACUGCGUCGGAUACUGGAUGGCUUGAAUUCGGGAGAGGGAUGCAGAAUUCCAGGUGUAGCGGUGAAAUGCGUAGAUAUCUGGAGGAAUACCGGUGGCGAAGGCGGCAUCCUGGACCGACAUUGACGCUGAUGAGCGAAAGCUAGGGGAGCAAACGGG